rnacentral:rRNA from 1 species
AUUGAACGCUGGCGGCAUGCCUUACACAUGCAAGUCGAACGGCAGCACGGGAGCAAUCCUGGUGGCGAGUGGCGAACGGGUGAGUAAUAUAUCGGAACGUGCCCAGUCGUGGGGGAUAACGCAGCGAAAGCUGUGCUAAUACUGCAUACGAUCUACGGAUGAAAGCGGGGGAUCACAAGACCUCGCGCGAUUGGAGCGGCCGAUAUCAGAUUAGCUAGUUGGUGGGGUAAAGGCCUACCAAGGCGACGAUCUGUAGUUGGUCUGAGAGGACGACCAGCCACACUGGAACUGAGACACGGUCCAGACUCCUACGGGAGGCAGCAGUGGGGAAUUUUGGACAAUGGGCGCAAGCCUGAUCCAGCAAUGCCGCGUGCAGGAUGAAGGCCUUCGGGUUGUAAACUGCUUUUGUACGGAACGAAACGGUGAGCUCUAAUACAGUUUGCUAAUGACGGUACCGUAAGAAUAAGCACCGGCUAACUACGUGCCAGCCGCCGCGGUAAGAC